UUAGGCAUUUCAUCAAACAUGGGGUGAUUGAUUCAGACAAGAGAUCUAACUGCAACAUUGAAGCAUCUAUUCCAAUCCAAGCUAUCACAACAGCAUCAAAAUGAGUUCACAUCAUCAGUAAAUCAUUAAUCAGAGACGAUUUCACAUAAGUCUUAAUUAGACUUACUCCGCCUUUUUUUUUCCUCCAAGAAUAGUUGAGAGCAGAGCAUAUGAAGGUAAAGUGCGAUUGCCAGUCACGAACUGUGAUUGGACUAGAAAUAGGAAGUCAUGGAAGUGUCGCCAGUGACGAUGACGUGAAGGAGCUUAGAACGGACCCCGAGUGCGUUGGAAUUAUCAGCCAAAAAACAGAGUGAAUUGAUUGGUGGGGCUCGACUCACCGGCGAAGGAGCUUCAAACGGACCCUGAGUGCUUCCAAAAUUAAAGAGAUUGCCGGUCACGAACUGUGAUUGGACUAGAAAUAGGAAGUCAUGGAAGUGUCGCCAGUGACGAUGCCGGCGAAGGAGCUUCGAACGGAACCCGAAUGCUUCGGAAAUAUCAGCCAAAAACAGAGCGAAUUGAUUGGUGGGGGGCGACUC